AUGUACUAAGGAUUGAACCCAGAGCCCCGUGAACGCUAAAUAAGUGCCCUAAUACUGAGUCAUGUCUUCAAGCAUACCUGAUAUGGAAAGCAGAAGAAAACUUCCAGCAGGUGGAACAAGAGAUAAUUAGGACUACCCUAUGAGUCCCACUCUUCCACAUCUGCUUCUAACAUAAAUGAGAACAGAAACCUUGUUUUCGGAUUCCAUCAUCCCAUUGUCCUGAGCAGUCAUCAAUGCUGAGUUUAACCUAAACCCCCCAGCCUUAAAGACUUGGAACUCACAGAACUUCUUCCCAAAGCAGUCUUUUCAAUGUGGUCCCUCCAGCAUCUCUGCAAGUUCUGAGGCUUGGGAACAGCAAUGCUUUCGAUCUUCAGGACAAUCAGGAGCAAGGCCUUUGGACUUAAGAAUUCUCAAGAACUUAUUACAUCAUGAAACAGACUUGUGCGGCACCAGGGAGUUUCUCAGGACCAUCCUGAAAAGAAAGGCUUGUAACUUCUAAUAUAACACAAAUGUGAACGUGUGAUAAAGCUCAGGUAGGAAGACUCUACUAAGUUUCCUAUCUCUCAAAAACAACAUAAGAAAUUAUUUCUUUAACUCUUUACCAAAUCAUGUUGGUAGGAGGUCCAACAUUAUACUCAGUACUUUCAGUCAAAAGCCCAAUUCAUGUUUUAUUUGGUAUUGCCCACAGUACCUUUGUAUCAUGUUAAAUAAAAUACCUGAAAUCAUCACUGACAGCAAGUGAAAUAACAUGGUCAUUAUGCUCCUAACAAUGGAUUAAAUAAGACUGUUCUCUUUCCUUGAAGAGUCCUAAGGGUAAUUCUACCUUAAGCAUAUUCUGACAAUGACUCUUUCCCUGUAUCUAAACUUUCUUAUGUGUCAGUAUUGUCUGUAUGC